CAGGGACACAUCUAUGUUAAAAAGAAAAAAAGAAACAGAAAAGGGAAAAAAUACAAAUCUGUCGACGCUUCUUUCCCCACCCAUGGCGAUUGAAGGUUCAGAAAUCAAAAUCAAUACCGGUAAAGACUGUAACGAUGGCUUGAAGAUCUUCAACGAUGAGGGUAGCAAAUCUGAUUUGGAAACAAAAUCAAACCGUUGGUUGGAAACUCGUUAGAUCCACCAAGGACUUCUCGUAUUCCUGUCUCUUAAGAUCCGAAGGCUUCAGUGAGAAGAACGUUGUGUGAUAUUUGAGUUUCAAUUUGGCCUUUUCAGAUAUCUUUGGCCGAGUGAUAAUCAGAUUUGAAAGACAAUUAAACAGGAUGAUCGGUUGCUCGGUACAUGCCAGUUGAAGGACUGAGGGUGAAAUUCUGAAUGUACCUCCAUGCUCCAACAGGAAGAAGGCGGCCUUUACUCUCCAUGUAAGUUCUCUUGCAAGAGGCAUGUAUUUUACAUCACUAGUUCAGGUUGAAAAAAAAAGAAAGUUAGUGAACAAACUUAAAGCUAUAUAAUACGCUAAACAAAAAAUAACAAAACACAUAUUAGAACACUCACAGAUUCAUCGGAUAGCACCAUCUUGAGGGUGUCCCCGUGCACUGGGUUGUACUGCUGCCAAGAGUGCAGAACCUUCACAUGUACUUUCCAGCCAUUCUUGAAGAGUUUCACAUCUUUCAAAGGGGUCACUUUCAUUGCCGCAGACAUUUUUUUUUAUUGCUAAUGUAGCUGUGAGUAAAUGUGAGAAAGCUUAGGCAUGUUGUAGGUGUUUAUAUAGCAGUAGGUUAAUCAAUGGUUCUAAAUGACGUCUAAAAAAUAUCUCUCGUAUAUUCUUAGUUCGAUAUAGGAAACCCUUAGAGUAUUGACCCUUAGAGUAUUGAUCAAGCAAAAAUAUUUAGAGAUCGAUAUUGUUUGCGGUUGUUUACAUAUCUUAACAAUAUUUACAAUUCUGUUGGUUUAGAUAUCGUUUUAACAUCAACGGAUUAAAUGAAACAAAUAUUUGAGUAGUUAUUACAUAUGCUUCAUGGCCAAGCUAGUAUAUUCGGAUUCAUUAAAGGGAAAAUCGCUAGAGUAUUUACCAAGUAAAAAUAUUUAGUGGUUAUACUGUUAGCGGAAAUUUACAUAUCUGCAGCCUUGGGCCAUUUAUACAAAUCGCUAAAGGGAAAAUCGUUUGGGCCUACAUUCAGCCUUGGGCCAUUUCAAAAACUUUGACACAAAACGUGUUGAUCAUAAUUCACGUAAAUACCCUUUAUUAUUCUGCGAAAUGUAAGAAAGCAUUAAAAAAGAAAAUGCAGGUUUAGGUAAAAAAUACAAUAAAAUCCUGCUUUAAUAGUAUAGAUUGGUUUGCAUAUACAUUAUUUUACAACCUUACUGUUUUAUCAGGAAAAGAAACUGACACAAAACAUUAUUUUUGCUAAAUUGUAGAUGUCAUUAUUUCGAAAAGAAAUGAAGGUUCGGUUACAAGAUGAAUUGGAACCAAAGUCUGCUAAACAAGCCAUUCAGGAUCAAAGAAGCCGCAAAAAAUUUUAAAAAACCUAAUGAUACAGACAAACAGUUUUUUGACAAAAUAUGUGAUCAAUAAAAAGGCUAUUUGUUUUGUAUAUAGCAAUAUACAUUGAGUCACUGACAAAAUAAAAGAAAAUAUAAAGAAGUGUGUAUAUAUGGCGUAAUGUUUUGACAUGUACUUUCAGUUGCAUGCGCUCAUAAGUGAUAGUGAACAUGCGAUAUACCACGUACGCUAGCCCUAGAUGGACACUAUUCACUUGUCUUAUUGGACCACAGCUGUGGCUAUCGAAAUGAAGAAAAAAUUGACUAAUCAUUGAAAAAUUGGGGACCGAUCAAUGGAUAUGAGCUAAGUUGAUGUGUAUAAAUGUGGUAAUUAACAAUACAGAGAAAGGAAAAAGGAGCUAUAUAGAUCCAAAUUAUUACCUUAUAUGAAAUUACAAAGUCACAAGAGCAAGUUUUUGUUUUUGAUUGUGUUACGAUCCUUUAUGAGACGUCAUGGUUAUACGUUACUAUCAGCACCACAUAGAU